rnacentral:lncRNA from 1 species
AGUCAGCUAUACGCCGAGUAGGAAGUCAGUCACAGGCCAAGCAUUGUUGAGUGUAAGCGGCCGUGGGUGGCAUGCUAACUAUAGUCGUCUUGGUGCCGACCAGGAGUGAGCUAUCUUUAGUCGGCCGAAUACCAUUGAUAGAGGCCAUUGUUGAACCAACCAGACAGGGCUCAUUGAUUUGAGUCGGGAGAAGCCACAGUGGC